GGUUGCAUAACUCAACUGGAUAGAGUAACGGUUUUCUAAACCGUAAGUUCUUGGUUCGAAUCCAAGUGCGACUACUA
rnacentral:tRNA from 1 species